UUUGUAUAGGAGUGAAUUGGGUAAUUUUUAGAAAUCCACAAUUUUUGUCAGUCUAGACUUUGCAAAUCAGGUUUUCAGAUCACUGCAGUUUGCGUUUUAGGGAAGGAAUUCUGUUAUCACCAAACAAGACCGUAAUGACCUUUAAUGGAUUCACGAAUGGCCGGCAUCUUCUACCUUUGCACAUGUGACCCUUUUAUGAUAUUCUCCUUCAAACAGCUAUACU